GACGAACGCUGGCGGCGUGCUUAACACAUGCAAGUCGAACGGAAAGGCCCUGCUUUUGUGGGGUGCUCGAGUGGCAAACGGGUGAGUAACACGUGAGUAACCUGCCCUUGACUUUGGGAUAACUUCAGGAAACUGGGGCUAAUACCGGAUAGGAGCUCCUGCUGCAUGGUGGGGGUUGGAAAGUUUCGGCGGUUGGGGAUGGACUCGCGGCUUAUCAGCUUGUUGGUGGGGUAGUGGCUUACCAAGGCUUUGACGGGUAGCCGGCCUGAGAGGGUGACCGGCCACAUUGGGACUGAGAUACGGCACAGACUCCUACGGGAGGCAGCAGUGGGGAAUAUUGCACAAUGGGCGGAAGCCUGAUGCAGCAACGCCGCGUGCGGGAUGACGGCCUUCGGGUUGUAAACCGCUUUCGCCUGUGACGAAGCGUGAGUGACGGUAAUGGGUAAAGAAGCACCGGCUAACUACGUG
rnacentral:rRNA from 1 species